AAGACUUUUAAAAUAGAGACCAACGUGGCCGGGCAGGAAGAGCAGGGUCCCGCCUUCAGGUGUUUGGGACUCAGCUGAGGGUGUGGGUGCCCCGCGGUGGGGGCUGAACCUUCCUGGGGUGUGGAGAGACGAAAGGAGCCCAGAUCCAAGUUCCCUCGUUCCCGCUUUGGCAUAAGUUGCCCUGGCGGUCUCAUGAGAGAGAGAAAGAGCUGGGACCCUCCUCGCCCCAGUGAGUGUGAUGUCUUGCUCCGGGUGUCCUGGGGCAACUUUCUAUACAGGCGGGACGUGGGAGGAUCAGACAGUGUAACAUCAGACAAGGGUGUUGACUCUGCAGCACAGAACCAGUAGUUUGUGGAGAAGAAUGGAGGUGUGGUGUUGAAUCUGCUAGACAGGCUACUGAAGCAAAAGUCAAGAGAUCCAGAUUCCAUCAUGGGGACACUUUAGAGGAAAAACCUGUUUUCCUGACUGAGUCCCUUUGCUUCCCACCUUAAAAGCCAGUCAAUUCAUGUGGUCCCCAUUCCCAGGAUUCUUGACCCCAGGCUGCGUAUUUCAUUCCAACCGUCAUCACUAAGAAGAUUGAUAUUGGAAAAGCCAUUUCCUAUUGAGCCCAAAAUGAAGAGAGUGCAAAUAAAGAGAAGGCAGGGAUCACAAGCCCUUGACAGACACAUUGCCACCUACAGGACCCUGCACCCAGAUUUCAUCUGCACAAUCAGCUUCUUCAAAGAGAGAGAGGCUGUUGAGUUAGUACCCAUGAGGGCACAAUACUAGAAAUGUGUAAAACUAUAAGUUUUUAAGUCCUAGAAAGUCAUCAUCUGUAAAUGAGACUUUUGGGUAUGCUUUGGGGAGGUUAAGCGGUAGAAUCCCAUUUCUGCUCCAUAUUAGAUGAAUCUGAAAAAAUUGAUUUUCCAUCAGUGAGUUUGAUUUUGUCAUCUGUAAAUUGAGAAUAAUUAUGCCUUCCUCACAGAGUCAUUGUGAGAAAAUUAUGCAAAAAUGUAAUUGUUUGUACAUGUUUAUCUAUAUAUGUGUCAUAAAAAAAUGUGCCCUUUUGCACUUUUUUUCUCUUAAAA
rnacentral:lncRNA from 1 species